rnacentral:rRNA from 1 species
GCUUGUCUCAAAGAUUAAGCCAUGCAUGUCUUAGUGUAAAUAACUCUUAUGAAACUGCGAAUGGCUCAUUAAAUCAGUUAUCAAAUACGUGAUGGUCGCCUACUACAUGGAUAACCGUGGUAAUUCUAGAGCUAAUACAUGCAGUAAGAUCCGUAAGGAUUGUAUUUAUUAGAUAUCAAACCAAUAUUCCUUCUGGUCUAUUGUGAUGAUUCAUAAUAACUGAUCGAAGCUUAGCUAGUCUAAGCUAAAUCAUUCAAGUUUCUGCCCUAUCAGCUUUCGAUGGUAGUGUAUUGGACUACCAUGGCAGUCACGGGUAACGGGGAAUUAGGGUUCGAUUCCGGAGAGGGAGCCUAAGAAACGGCUACCACAUCUAAGGAAGGCAGCAGG